UGGGGAAUUUUGGACAAUGGGCGAAAGCCUGAUCCAGCAAUGCCGCGUGUGUGAAGAAGGCCUUCGGGUUGUAAAGCACUUUUGUCCGGAAAGAAAUCCUUGGCUCUAAUACAGUCGGGGGAUGACGGUACCGGAAGAAUAAGCACCGGCUAACUACGUGCCAGCAGCCGCGGUAAUACGUAGGGUGCAAGCGUUAAUCGGAAUUACUGGGCGUAAAGCGUGCGCAGGCGGUUUGCUAAGACCGAUGUGAAAUCCCCGGGCUCAACCUGGGAACUGCAUUGGUGACUGGCAGGCUAGAGUAUGGCAGAGGGGGGUAGAAUUCCACGUGUAGCAGUGAAAUGCGUAGAGAUGUGGAGGAAUACCGAUGGCGAAGGCAGCCCCCUGGGCCAAUACUGACGCUCAUGCACGAAAGCGUGGGGAGCAAACAGGAUUAGAUACCCUGGUAGUCCACGCCCUAAACGAUGUCAACUAGUUGUUGGGGGAUUCAUUUCCUUAGUAACUAGCUAACGCGUGAAGUUGACCGCCUGGGGAGUACGGUCGCAAGAUUAAAACUCAAAUGAAUUG
rnacentral:rRNA from 1 species